CAGAGUUAGGGUUGCCCUCGCGGCGCCCGACCUCCCAACCCUUUGCCUUGAAAAAAUGGUCAGCGGGCGCGCCUCUCUGAUGGAGCGCCCGCCGAGCAGAACCACGUAUACGUUGCUUCGGCGGCUCACACCGCCGGAGGGACCGUACACCAAAACUCUUGUUAAACCGUGUAAACGUCUGAGAAUAAAACUUCAAUAAGUUA
rnacentral:misc_RNA from 1 species